rnacentral:rRNA from 1 species
UCCCUACGGGAGGCAGCAGUGGGGGAUAUUGCACAAUGGGGGGAACCCUGAUGCAGCGACGCCGCGUGGGUGAAGGAGCGUUUCGGCGCGUAAAGCCCUAUCGGCAGGGAGGAAGAUGACGGUACCUGACCAAGAAGCCCCGGCUAACUACGUGCCAGCAGCCGCGGUAAUCCGUUGGGGGCCAGCGUUAUCCGGAUUUACUGGGUGUAAAGGGGGCGCAUACGGCGAUUCAAGCCUGGAGUGAAAUCCCGGGGCCCCACCCCGGGACUGCUCUUGGAACU